rnacentral:lncRNA from 1 species
CUUAAAUAUCAGUGGCAAGGGAGUAAACCAGGUUUCUUGGGAGAUGUCUGGAAUUCAUUGUUGGAGAGCUAAAUAUAGCUAUCCUUUAAGUGGACUUUGUGAUGCAUGUUCUUCUUUGCUGCUACUGACUCUUGAUGCCUGAGCUUGGAGGACUGAUGAGUGAUGUCUCCAAGUGUGAUGGGGAUCCUGGCUCCCAAAACAUUCAGACCUUGUCAGCAGAUGACCUGGAACCCCUGCCUUUCUGCUGCUCUCUCACUGGAAGUGACACCAAAGCGAUUCAAACCCUCAAACAUUGUGGAUGUCUAGAGAAAGACCUAUGGCUGUGUGUAAAAAGCGUAAGCCUCUUUUUGUGCUGCUAAAAAUCUAAAAAUCUUGGGAUGAUUCUAGAACAGUGGGGGCUACUCUGAUACAGAGAAGAAGCAAAUCAAAUCCUAUCUUUUUUUUUUUUUUUUUCUUUUUUUUCAGUAUGGGCAACAGAAAUACACAUUCUGUCCCCCUGGCUUUGAGGAAUGGGAUGGAGAGAAUUGGUCUUUGUUUUGAAAGCUUUGGAAAUCAGAGACUUUCAAAGCAUUUACAGGCAAAUGCCUAUAAUUUAAGAAGAUUGUAGGAGAGUUUUAGUUACUGUAACUGUUCAAUUACCUAUAGAAAAUGGAAUUUACCAAAAAACUUUGAAGAAGCUAAAAGUGGUGCCACUUUGUUGGUCUCAGAGUGAUUGUAUUUUAAGCUUCAGGGGGACAUUUUGACUAGCUCCGUAUUUUUAAAAAGUCCUUAGGGAUCCUCUGAAUUUUUUAUUUUUUUUUAACUAAAAUCCUAUGAUAUGCUGCAUAUUAGUUUUUAUCUGCAUAUAUAUUUCUGUCAAACAAAGUUCUGAUAAUCACUGUAAUAAGGGCAAUGUUUGUUUUGCUAUAUUAAUUUUCUUGAUAUAAAACAUCUCACAGGAAAAGCGCCUGUUUUGUAGAAAGCAUUUUCUUCUGAAAAAAAAAAAACACCAAAAAACAACAAAACACACCCACAUGCACAGUUUGUUUAAAAGUGUUUAACUUAUUGCAGAGUAGGUCAGGAAAGAGAAAAUGAAAUAAAAAAAAAUGGGCAGCUGGGAAUAAAGGCA